UCUAGAUUUCUGGAGGGUUGCUAUCCAAUCUCCUUGGAUUUGUUCUUAUCUCAGUAAUGCCCAGGUCCUUGAGCAGGUCACCUGACCUACUCAAGUGUUAAUUUCCUUAGCACAAACAUGGAGAUAAUGGAAUCAACUCUAUAGAGUCAUUGGAGGAUUAAAUAAGGUGGUCCAUUUAAACAUGCUUAGCACAGGCCUUGACAUCGACUCAAAGCACAAGAACUGAGGACAGCAAACAGCUUCCUGGUGCACAGGAGGUGGAAAUGGCCCAGGAUGGGCCUGGCCUCAGCAGCUCUCCAGGCUCUUCCUUCCUUACUCCUGUAUCCAAGACCAGCCCUGAAACAAAUGCUUGCCAUG